rnacentral:tRNA from 1 species
GGGGUUGUAGCUCAGUGGUGGACCCUCCGCUUCGUACGCGGGAAGACCUGGGUUCGAUCCCCGGCUGCUUUC